AGCGAACGCUGGCGGCAGGCCUAACACAUGCAAGUCGAACGAACCUUUCGGGGUUCGUGGCGGACGGGUGAGUAACACGUGGGAACGUGCCUUUAGGUUCGGAAUAACUCAGGGAAACUUGUGCUAAUACCGAAUGUGCCCCUCGGGGGAAAGAUUUAUCGCCUUUAGAGCGGCCCGCGUCUGAUUAGCUAGUUGGUUGAGGUAAUGGCUCACCAAGGCGACGAUCAGUAGCUGGUCUGAGAGGAUGAUCAGCCACAUUGGGACUGAGACACGGCCCAAACUCCUACGGGAGGCAGCAGUGGGGAAUCUUGCGCAAUGGGCGAAAGCCUGACGCAGCCAUGCCGCGUGAAUGAUGAAGGUCUUAGGAUUGUAAAAUUCUUUCACCGGGGACGAUAAUGACGGUACCCGGAGAAGAAGCCCCGGCUAACUUCGUG
rnacentral:rRNA from 1 species